rnacentral:lncRNA from 1 species
AUGGCACAGCGUCCCCAAGGUGCCCAGCACCGCACAGAGCCAGGGACUCACCUCCUGCUGCUGCUGGAGCGGGAAUUUGGGGGAGAUGGGGAGAGCCCCGCAGCCUGCGCCCCAAAUCACGGCCCCACUGCAGGGCCACCGCUGCUCCCAGCAGGGCCCACCUGCGCGGUGACCCCAUCCUGGUGCCACCCCGGUGCCACCCAGCAGCUCGGCCCCGCCGUGUGGCACAGCACGCCCUGCCCAGCACCCACGGGUCCCCACGGCACGGUGCUGGAUGAGGCCCCGUCCCCAUCCCGCGGCUCCCCCGGGGGGAUGCGCAGGGGCCGGGCAGGGCGAUGGGGGGGGUCCCGCAGCCCCCACGCGUGUCCCAGCCCCGCGGUCGCCCCCGGCCACCUCCCCACGGGUGCCCGCGGACCCCCCGCGCGCCCCCAGCCCCCGUGGCCUCACCUCCGCCGAGGGGCUCGCAUCCUGCCCCCCGGCCUCCGCCGCACCGGGGGGCACCGGGGGGCACCCGGGGGGUACCCGGGGGGCAGCGGGGGGCGCUCCGCAGGCGCUGCCGGGCGGCCCCAGCGUGCGCCGGGGAGGCGGCUCUGCGGCACCGGCCGGCUCCGCCCGCAGCUGCAUCCCUCCUCCUCCUCCAUCCCUCCUCCAUCCUUCCUCCUCCUCCUCUUCCUCCUCCUCCAGAGCCACCCCCCAGUACCCAGUGGGGUGCCACGUCCCCAGAACCCCCCCAAUUUCACCCCAGCUGUGUCCCAGCUGCCACCACAACCGGUGUCACCCAGUGUCACCCGCUGGCCCUGCCAGCUUGGGGGUGUCCACCAAUGCGUGGGGCACAGGGGUAGGGUCCNNNNNNNNNNGCCGGUGUCACCCAGUGUCACCCAGUGUCACCCCCCCACCAGUGCGUGGGGCACAGGGGUAGGGUCCAUAUCUCUCCAUGGGGACAUGGGGACACGCCAGCUGGCACUGCCACCCAUCCCGUGUCCCCUGUGUCCCUGCCAGGGGUGCCGGGGUGCCAGCGAGCCUCAGGGCCGUGCUUCGGGCUCUGCUCCCCAGGAGAGGGCACCAAGCAACCGGGAAAAGCCGUCCAAGGCCGCCACCGCGGUGGCUUGGCCAUGGGCACCAGCAUGGGAUGGGGUUUGUAGGGUGCUGGGCACGGCGAAGGAGCCCCCACCCGCUGCAGGGGGUGUCCCCCACCUGUCCCCGAGGAGAUGCACGGACGUGGGCGCCAGGAGCCACCGGACGGUGACACCAGGGAGGUGCCAU